UAACGAAUAUUCCGCAAUGCGCGAAAGCGUGACGGAGCAAUGCCGCGUGCAGGAUGAAGCCUUUCGGGGUGUAAACUGCUGUCAGGGGACAGGAACACAAUGACCAUCCCCAAAGGAAGGGCCGGCUAACUUCGUGCCAGCAGCCGCGGUAAUACGAAGGGCCCGAGCGUUAAUCGGAAUCACUGGGCUUAAAGCGUACGUAGGCGGGCGCGCAGGCAUCUUGUGAAAGCCCUCGGCUCAACCGAGGAAUUGCUUGGUGAACCGCGUGCCUUGAGGCAGGUAGGGGCUGUCGGAACGCUAGGUGGAGUGGUGAAAUGCGUUGAUAUCUAGCGGAACGCCGAAGGAGAAAUCAGGCAGCUGGGCCUGUUCUGACGCUGAGGUACGAAAGCGUGGGGAGCGAACGGGAUUAGAUACCCGGGUAGUCC
rnacentral:rRNA from 1 species